GUUCCUCUUCUCGCGACGAUUAUCGUCAUCGCGGCCGCAAGGAUGACUAUCGCGGUCGCGACGAUUACCACGACAGUCCCGGAAGGGAUAGCAGGGACGGCGG
rnacentral:SRP_RNA from 13 species